rnacentral:rRNA from 1 species
AACGAACGCUGGCGGCAUGCCUAACACAUGCAAGUCGAACGAGACCUUCGGGUCUAGUGGCGCACGGGUGCGUAACGCGUGGGAAUCUGCCCUUGGGUUCGGAACAACAGUUGGAAACGACUGCUAAUACCGGAUGAUGACUUCGGUCCAAAGAUUUAUCGCCCAGGGAUGAGCCCGCGUCGGAUUAGCUAGUUGGUGAGGUAAAAGCUCACCAAGGCGACGAUCCGUAGCUGGUCUGAGAGGAUGAUCAGCCACACUGGGACUGAGACACGGCCCAGACUCCUACGGGAGGCAGCAGUGGGGAAUAUUGGACAAUGGGCGAAAGCCUGAUCCAGCAAUGCCGCGUGAGUGAUGAAGGCCUUAGGGUUGUAAAGCUCUUUUACCCGGGAAGAUAAUGACUGUACCGGGAGAAUAAGCCCCGGCUAACUCCGUGCCAGCCGCCGCAGUAA